GUAGUCUCGCACAGAUGCAUAUCAAUAAGCGGAGGAAAAGAAACUAACGAGGAUUCCCUCAGUAACGGCGAGUGAAGCGGGAAGAGCUCAAAUUUGAAAUCUUGAAAGGUCACCUUUCACGAAUUGUAGUUUAAAGAAGUGUUUUCUGUUACGAUCGUAAUAUAAGUUCUUUGGAAUAGGACAUCAUAGAGGGUGAGAAUCCCGUAUUUGACCAUUAUUUUCAGCUGUGUGAUACACUUUCAAAGAGUCGGAUUGUUUGGGAAUGCAGUCCAAAAUUGGGUGGUAAAUCUCAUCUAAAGCUAAAUAUUGGCGAGAGACCGAUAGCGAACAAGUACCGUGAGGGAAAGAUGAAAAGAACUUUGAAAAGAGAGUUAAACUAGUACGUGAAAGUUGUCAAAAGGGAAGCGUUUGACACCAGUGUUGUUUUCUCGAAGAUCAAUUAAAAAGAGUUAGAUUUUGUUGUGUAUUGACCUUAACAGCUUGCAUUUCAAUUUUCUUGCUUUUUUUAAUGCACUUUUCGUUUAACAAGUCAACAUCAGUUUCUUUUGUUGUAAAAAGGUCAUUGGAAGGUGGCUUUCUUUUCGGAGAAAGUGUUUAUAGCCUUUGACUCCUGCAAUCGGAGAGACUGAGGUCUGCAGCGUAGAUCCUUCGGGGUUAGAUACAUUUGUGCUAAGUUAUAGCUUUUUAUAGACAACUUGUUGACUAUGAUUAGUCUUGUAGCUUACUCGCUUAUGCUAUUUUACCUACGCUUAGGAUGUUGAAGAUGUAGCACAUCAU
rnacentral:rRNA from 1 species